rfam:Oryza rufipogon genomic scaffold, chr10
AAAAAGACAAACCCUGGUUUUCUGUGUCAAUAUUUAACUGUCCGUCUUAUAUGAAAUUUUUUUAUAAUUAGUAUUUUCAUUGUUGUUAGAUGAUAAAAUAUAAUUAAUACUUUAUGUGUGACUUAUCUUUUUAAUUUUUUUUCAUAAUUUUUUUCAAAUAAAACGAACGGUCAAACGUUAGACACGGAAACCAGAGUUUGUCUUUUUU